rnacentral:rRNA from 1 species
AUGCACGCUGGCGGCGUGCCUCAUCCCUGCCGGUCGAGCGAACAGACGAGGAGCUUGCUCCUCUGACGUUAGCGGCGGACGGGUGAGUAACACGUGGAUAACCUACCUAUAAGACUGGGAUAACUUCGGGAAACCGGAGCUAAUACCGGAUAAUAUAUUGAACCGCAUGGUUCAAUAGUGAAAGACGGGUUUGCUGUCACUUAUAGAUGGAUCCGCGCCGCAUUAGCUAGUUGGUAAGGUAACGGCUUACCAAGGCGACGAUGCGUAGCCGACCUGAGAGGGUGAUCGGCCACACUGGAACUGAGACACGGUCCAGACUCCUACGGGAGGCAGCAGUAGGGAAUCUUCCGCAAUGGGCGAAAGCCUGACGGAGCAACGCCGCGUGAGUGAUGAAGGUCUUCGGAUCGUAAAACUCUGUUAUUAGGGAAGAACAAAUGUGUAAGUAACUAUGCACGUCUUGACGGUACCUAAUCAGAAAGCCACGGCUAACUACGUG